rnacentral:lncRNA from 1 species
AUGAUAGGCCAGGGUAGUCGGCAGCGCUCAACUGCAGCUCAACAAGGAGACGGAAGCCAACACCCAACACCCCACUGGAGCUUGGAAGAAACCAUUUUUACUCACACUACAAAACAAAGACUGUAUGUAACGUUUGUCCACCUUACCAAAGCGCUUGACACUGUGGGCAGAAAAGGCCUGUGGCAAAUUAUGGAACGACUAGAAUGUCCUCCAAAAUUCCUCAACAUGAUUAUCAAGCUACAUGAAGGCCAGCGUGGCCAAGUCAGACGCAGCAAAGACCUCUCAGAGCCCUUCCCAAUAAGCGACGGUGUAAAGCAAGGCUGCGUCCUCACGCCGACCCUCUUCGCAGUCUUCUUCAGCAUGAUGCUCCAAAGGGCCACAGUAGACCUUGAUGACGAGGAUGAUGUCUAUAUCCGAUACCGCACCGAUGGCAGCCUGUUGAACUUGAGGCGGCUAAAGGCCCACACCAAGACAGUGGAGCAUCUUAUCCGAGAACUACUCUUUGCCAACGAUGCUGCCCUUGUUUCCCACAUGGUGACAGCUCUGCAGCCUAUAACAUUCUGUUUUGCAGAGGCUGCCGAGCUAUUUGGGCUAGAAGUCAGCUUGAAGACGACAAAAGUUCUCCACCAGUCUUCACCUCCGGAAGACUACCACCCUCCCCAUAUCACCAUAGGCGAAUCAGAGCUGAAGACAGUCCACCGGUUCGGCUACCUGGGGUGCAUCAUCUCCUCGGAUGCCAAGGUCAACAAAGACACCGACAACAGACUGGCAAAGGUAAACAGUGCAUUGGGCAAACUGUACAGAAGUGUCUGGAACAACAAACAUCUGAAAAAAUGCACAAGGAUCAGUGUGUACGGAGCCAUUGUAUUGACCACUCGACUCUAUAGCUCCGAGUCGUGGGUCACCUACCGUCACCACCUGCGACUCUUUGAGCGCUUCCAUCAGCGUUGCCUCCACACCAUCCUCAGCAUCUACUGGAAUAACUUCAUCACCAACACUGAAGUCCUCAAACAGGCAGAGGUCACCCAGCAUAGAGGCCAUGCUGAUGAAGAUGCAGCUGUGUUGGGCAGAGCACAUCUCCAGGAUGGAGGAUCAUCGCCUGCCCAAGAUUGUGCUGCAUGGCGAACUCACCACUGGCCACCGCAACAGAGAGGCACUGAAGAAGAGGUGCAAGGACUCUCUGGAGAAAUCCCUUGA